rnacentral:misc_RNA from 1 species
GUUCCAUUUUGCUUGUGUGGGCUUGACAAUGAAACCCAAAGGAAAAUGGUUUUGUCCACGGUGUACAGAGGAAAGAAAGAAAAAAUAACGGAAACAGAAGCAGUUGAAGAACCUUGUACUGUAGUUCAUAGCCAGGCCUGAAUCACCGACCAGCGAGCCUUAUGAAACACAGGAAUACCACAAGAAUACAUAGAAUGCAAGAAGUGCAUGUGUGACAAAAUGUAUACUAAUAACUUAUUUUAUUUAUUUCUUAUCAGCACCUGAUCAAAGAUCAAUCAAUGGUAGAAAUAGAAAUUCAUGUAAUGGUUUCAAACAAAUCUGAUAUUCAGAUCUGACAGGCCUGUACAUCAUGUUUGCCUCCGGGCAGUCAAUAUUUUAAAGGAAGGUCCAAGAUAAUCACAUCAUGAUAGUGCCAUAUCAAGAGGGUUAAUGGUAUUUGUAACAGAGAAAACUUGUUCGGAAGUUUUACUCCUGUAUUUUUUUAAUUUUAUUUUCCUCAUCUGUUUUAUGAAUUAACAUUUUUUAUUCAAAUAUAAGAAAAACAAUUUGUAAAAACUUCUCUUUUAUAAAAUGUUGUAAUGUGUACAAUGUCUGUGAAUUGUGUACGUAAAAAAGUAGUCAAGAAAUUUUGCAAUGAAUUUUGAAAAGAGACACCAAGUGUUUCAUCUGUAAAGUUGUUAAGUUUUACUGGAACUCCUUUGUGAAACAAUGCCUCAACUUUUCUUGAUAUGCUAGCUGUAAAUGAAUUUGUGGCACACAAGAUAUUUGUUAUCAUCACUCUCUACCUUACUAGUAUUACCUCCCACCAAAACUUGUUUGCUUAUUAAUAGCUUUAUCAUGUUGACCUUACUUUUCUGUUAAAACUUUUGUUGUGAAACAUCAGAAUAGGAGAUUACUCCUGGGUGAGAGAAGGGUUACCCUCCUUAUUGUUCAACUUGUUAAAACGAUGUUUGCAAGAUGUUAGUGUUCAUUAGCAUUCAACUAACAUCUCUCCCCUCGCUUGACACAAAAUGUACGUAACAUGUCAUUGUUAUUUGUACAAAAUAAAUCACUGCAAACUC